GAACAAAUGCAGCCCGGAUCAGAACAGAGAUCGAGGGAUGUGUUAUUCCGCCCCAAUCAGAAAGCUGCUUGGCGGCUGUUGUAUUCAAAACAAAUGGAAAGUUAUUCUGCAGUUCUCCCAAUGCCAGAUGGGUUAAGAUGAAAAUGCAAGAGAUGGAAAAGAAUGGUAAGCCGUGUGCUCACGCCUGAUCGCCUAAAGAAGACUUCACCACAGGAAACACUUUGGGGACGCUGGGAAUAUAGUUAGGUGCAAUUGCUUUUGUAUUAUUUUUUGUAUUACUGUACGUAAAUGUCAUUUGUUUCUCAAAGAAGUUCUGUGUUUGUUGUCUUGCUGGUGAUUCC